rnacentral:rRNA from 1 species
AUGAAACACUCCUACGGGAGGCAGCAGUGGGGAAUAUUGGACAAUGGACCAAGAGUCUGAUCCAGCAAUUCUGUGUGCACGAUGAAGUUUUUCGGAUUGUAAAGUGCUUUCAGCAGGGAAGAAGAAAAUGACUGUACCUGCAGAAGAAGCGACGGCUAAAUACGUGCCAGCAGCCGCGGUAAUACGUAUGUCGCAAGCGUUAUCCGGAAUUAUCGGGCAUAAAGGGCAUCUAGGCGGCCAGAUAAGUCUGGGGUGAAAACUUGCGGCUCAACCGCAAGCCUGCCCUGGAAACUAUAUGGCUAGAGUACUGGAGAGGUGGACGGAACUGCACGAGUAGAGGUGAAAUUCGUAGAUAUGUGCAGGAAUGCCGAUGAUGAAGAUAGUUCACUGGACGGUAACUGACGCUGAAGUGCGAAAGCUAGGGGAGCAAACAGGAUUAGAUACCCUAGUAGUCCGAAGUUC